CAUUUUUUUGCUAUCAACCUGAAGGUCGCGUCGCCAGUUCUUCUGAUUUGCAGUAUAAAAAGUGCAGCAAUCUGCAUGGAACUUGGAAGGAGGAGCACAAGUUGCAGAAGGGAAAAGUUUGGAGGAGGAAUUGCAAUAUGAAGGGACAAGAGAAACUCCAAUUUGGGGCUUACAGAUCUGGUAGCAGAGACUACAGGUUCAGUUUUGAAGGUUCCCCUAGACUGUUGAUCCUGCGAGGUGGGCGUGUGGAGAGAAACUUUUCUUUCACCAGACAAUUUUAAUGUGUGGCAAGUGAUUCUUAAC